CUAUCCUCUUCAUCCCUAGCUGCGUACAGGACUACUAUGAGCUCCUGAAUCCAAUAAUGUUUUCAUCCUCUAUUGACAGAAAAAAGGACUUUGUUUGGAGUGAGAUCUGUCACUGGGAACUCAGCUAUUUCCUACUCAUCUGCUCACCAGCCCAGCAGAUCUGCUUGUUUCUCUGCAAGACUGCUUCCAGAAGAUGCACCAUGCCAAAUGUGGUGGUUGCUGUAGACAAGGACUAAUCAUAAAUGUAACUGAAAUUCAUUUUACUGUUUUGUUGUUUUGGUUUUUUUUAUGUUGCAAACAAUGGCAGAGGAUAAAGAGGAAAAUACUUAAUAUCCUCAGUAUUAUGGAGCAGUUUUGAGCUAGGACUGAAAGCCAUUAGAAGAAAUGCUUGGAGAAUGGGAGUACAGGGAAACCAAGAGGUAAAAUAUGAGAUGAAAGUGUUUCUGGGAGCAUUUGACAUGUAAUGCAGCCAGCAGAAACAUUUAUAUUAUUUGUACUAUUUAGGAAAGAGGAGAUGGAAGCCCCACAAGAUUCUCAUUUCAUGUUGGAACAGUGAGUUGUCCUGCUCAUUUUGCAUUUUCCAACACCCUGCACAGUAGCAAAGCAAAUGCCAUUAAAGAAAAUUAGGCAUAGAUCAGUCAGUUUUAGAUACCAGCUUAGCUUUUGCUGUUGUUAGGGAGCUGGAAGCUCUACACUGCACUGGCAGCACAGUCACAGAUUUCAUGAGCAAAUUUUGGCAGACUUCUCAUCCUGCUGAACUGAAAUUGUGUUUUGACCAAAUUUCCCCCUGUGUGCUUGAGCAAUGCCAUUCUCUCUACACUUUGCUACACACAGUUUCAGAGGCAGAUGAAUGGCCUUUGUAGAACAUGAAAUUUCCAUGGCUUUGGCAAGAACUUUACAAACUAUAUACAUGUUUUGAACUGUCACUUUGAGAUCUUAAUUUACAUAUUUUGACUUGUGCAUGAAAAGCAAUUUCAAGGUCAGCUUCUGUGGAGAAAUACAGGGUAACUCCAUUAAAAGUCUACUGGCACUUUGCAUAUUUAUUUUUCUUCCCUGUAGUAUGCAAGGGAUCUCAUAAAUCAGGAUAAACAAACAUCAGAGGUCACUCAUAGGUGUGCUCAGUGCAUUUCCACACCUAGCAGGAAGGUGUUCUGCAAAUACCAGGUUGCCUCCAGAGUAACAGCAAAGAAACAUUGCUCCCUAUAAUAUAUAUUUCUUUCUAGGGGUACAAGGUUG
rnacentral:lncRNA from 1 species